rnacentral:rRNA from 11 species
AAAUUGAAGAGUUUGAUCAUGGCUCAGAUUGAACGCUGGCGGCAGGCCUAACACAUGCAAGUCGAACGGUAACAGGAAGCAGCUUGCUGCUUCGCUGACGAGUGGCGGACGGGUGAGUAAUGUCUGGGAAACUGCCUGAUGG